CCCGCACAAGCGGCGGAGCAUGCGGAUUAAUUCGAUGCAACGCGAAGAACCUUACCAAGGCUUGACAUACACCGGUAACGCCCAGAGAUGGGUGCCCCUUUGUGGUCGGUGUACAGGUGGUGCAUGGGUUGUCGUCAGCUCGUGUCGUGAGAUGUUGGGUUAAGUCCCGCAACGAGCGCAACCCUCGUCCUAUGUUGCCAGCGGGUCAUGCCGGGGACUCAUGGGAGACUGCCGGGGUCAACUCGGAGGAAGGUGGGAUGACGUCAAAUCAUCAUGCCCCUUAUGUCUUGGGCUUCACGCAUGCUACAAUGGCCGGUACAAAGGGCUGCGAUACCGCGAGGUGGAGCGAAUCCCAGAAAGCCGGUCUCAGUUCGGAUUGGGGUCUGCAACUCGACCCCAUGAAGUCGGAGUCGCUAGUAAUCGCAGAUCAGCAACGCUGCGGUGAAUACGUUCCCGGGCCUU
rnacentral:rRNA from 1 species